CAGUGGUACCCGGCGGGAAAUCCAACCCUUUGGGGUGGGAUCAUGUUGGGUGCUGAGGGAGCCUUUAACCGCCUUCUUCGCUUCGCGGGUUUGGUGCUCGGUUGGGUGUAACUUAAUUCGCCAUGGGUAGGGUUAACAUUCAAAUUUUCGGUCGUCAUAAAAAUGACGGGGAGGGAAUGUAGCUUCGAUCUCGUAUUAAAAGUGUUUAUAGCCUCUGGUAGAUGUGAUGAUCGGGAUUGAGGAUUGCAACGAACCCUCUGGCCACUCGUCUGUCUUCUGGUGGUCGCUCUGGUGCCGAAAGCUGCUUACGGUCGUCAGAGUUUGGUGCCAAAAGGUAGAACGGGAUGAU
rnacentral:rRNA from 1 species